rnacentral:rRNA from 1 species
GAUGAACGCUGGCGGCGUGCCUAAUACAUGCAAGUCGAGCGAACGGACGAGAAGCUUGCUUCUCUGAUGUUAGCGGCGGACGGGUGAGUAACACGUGGAUAACCUACCUAUAAGACUGGGAUAACUUCGGGAAACCGGAGCUAAUACCGGAUAAUAUUUUGAACAGCAUGGUUCAAAAGUGAAAGACGGUCUUGCUGUCACUAAUAGAUGGAUCCGCGCUGCAUUAGCUAGUUGGUAAGGUAACGGCUUACCAAGGCAACGAUGGAUAGCCGACCUGAGAGGGUGAUCGGCCACACUGGAACUGAGACACGGUCCAGACUCCUACGGGAGGCAGCAGUAGGGAAUCUUCCGCAAUGGGCGAAAGCCUGACGGAGCAACGCCGCGUGAGUGAUGAAGGUCUUCGGAUCGUAAAACUCUGUUAUUAGGGAAGAACAUAUGUGUAAGUAACUGUGCACAUCUUGACGGUACCUAAUCAGAAAGCCACGGCUAACUACGUG